GAUGAACGUUAGCGGCAGGCUUAAUACAUGCAAGUCGAGGGGGCAGCAGGUUUGUAGCAAUACAGAUGCUGGCGACCGGCAAACGGGUGCGGAACACGUACACAACCUUCCUUUAAGUGGGGAAUAGCCCAGAGAAAUUUGGAUUAAUACCCCGUAACAUUAUGAUGUGGCAUCACAUUAUAAUUAUAGCUCCGGCGCUUAAUGAUGGGUGUGCGGCUGAUUAGAUAGUUGGCGGGGUAACGGCCCACCAAGUCUGCGAUCAGUAACUGGUGUGAGAGCACGACCAGUCACGACGGGCACUGAGACACCGGGCCCGACUCCUACGGGAGCAGCAGUAAGG
rnacentral:rRNA from 1 species